GGUGCUGUUAACCGGAUGUAAUUCUGCGGCACAAGACGGGAUGGAGCGAGGCGGAACUGGUCGCUGAGCAGUGGCAGGCGUGUGUGCUGCGAGCUGGCUGCCAACACUGCAUGGUGGGGUGCGAUGAGGCCCCUGACGACGACGGCAGCGGCGACGACGUCCGGAUCUUCGACGCCUGAGCCGCUGCUGGGGCCGGCGGCG